rnacentral:rRNA from 1 species
AUUGAACGCUGGCGGCAGGCCUAACCCAUGCAAGUCGAACGAGGGGCGGACGGGUGAGUAAUGUCUGGGAAACUGCCUGAUGGAGGGGGAUAACUACUGGAAAAGGUAGCUAAUACAGCAUACCAUCGGAUGUGCCGAGAUGGGAUUAGCUAGUAGGUGGGGAAACGGAUCACCUAGGCGACGAGCCCUAGCUGGUCUGAGAGGAUGACCAGCCACACUUGAACUGAGACACAGUCCAGACUCCGCCGGGAGGCAGAAGUGGGGAAUAUUGCACAAUGGGCGCAAGCCUGAUGCAGCCAUGCCGCGUGUAUGAAGAAGGCCUUCGGGUUGUAAAGUACUUUCAGCGGGGAGGCGUUACCCGCAGAAGAAGCACCGGCUAACUCCGUGCCAGCAGCCGCGGUAAUAC